GUGCUCAACAGCAGACCUUAGGAGACCUCGGGGGUCCAGCAGAGGCAUAUGCUGAGAGCACUGAAUGAAUAUCUUUGGAGUGCAGAGAGUCUGGACAGGUCUGUUCCAGUCUGGUAGCAGCAUUGGAUGGUCAGUGUUGGGCUCCUUCAUCCAUCAGCAUAGCACACAGAUGUCUCACUUUAGAUGAAGGAAGAAACUGGAUUUUCUACCAAGAUGAGUGGAAGUGCAGUAAGACCUCGGUGCCAGUACUGCCCAACUGCAGGAAGGGCUGGGCUCAGCUGUCCUGGCUGGUGUUGGAGAUCCCUGCUCAGGAGAGGAGCGUGCUUUGGGCUUUGCAUCAGUGCCUGCCUGACCAGAAAGAGGCCACUUCUUGGGGAUGACUGCCCCCUCCAUCAAGGAAAAGGUCUAUGAGGUUAAAGCCAAGUGGAAACGUCCUUAUAUGUGUAUUAGUACCUGGACUGAAGUUGGGUCAUCUUGGCCUUCUGCAUUUCGUUGUCUUCAUGUUCUGAAUAGAUGGAGCUUGUUACAGAUGGAGACCGUACUGCUCCUAGACAAGGACCAAUGAUACUUUUGACAGUACAAAAUGACCACGGCCAAUUCAAGUGUUCAGCUGCCAAAGUCAUACCUGAAAAUAUGCUGCUCUGUGGGCAAAGAAAGCAGAAGUGCUUUCUGCACUGCCUCUCUCACUGUUUGCCUCAGUUUUAGCCUUGGAAGACACCCAGUGCUUUAAAGACCUAGGCAGAUGGGGUAGAACUAAUCCAAAUAAAUCAAUUAAGAGGUCCACAUCUGA